GGUUGCAAUCAGCAGACAAUACAACUACAAAUUCCAUAAUGCAUCACUGUAACACGGACUCAGUGCGCGGCUGACGUCAGGGACCAAGCAGUCUGGUGUUGUUUUUAUUGAGGCGCGAAAGUGCACAAGGAUUCGGGAGUGAAAGGUGACUAAAGCAAAAUGGCAGCCAAAAAAAGAAAGAUGGACAUAAGGACGUUUUUUACAAAAAGUCAAAGUGUGAAUGAAGCAGUGCAACCUGGUAAAAGCAGUACAGAGGCAGGUGGAGCAACAGGGUCACAGGUGAGGUCUGUAAUGGCUUGGUGAUUAUAACAGUGAAAGUGUUACUCAGUUUUUAGAUAUAUUAUUGUUUGGGGCACAUUGUGAUAUGAUAGUAGUCUAAUGCUGUAUAGUAAUACUCAGCAAAUAAAGUUAGCAUAGCCAUAUAUUUUAUCUUUAUAUGGCAUGCAUGAAUUUAUUAUUUUAUCAGGUGAAUGAAGCAAUGCAACCAGGUGCGAGCAGCAGCACAGAUACAGGAGAGGCAGGCAGAGCAAUAGUGUUGCAUGCUAGGAAGGAUGUAGACAGCAACAGUGACAGUAGCAGUGACAGUGAGAGUGGCAGUGACGGUUCCAGUGAAGAUCAGUGUAACAGCGAAGAUGUCCAUUUUAUGGACAUUGUUGAAGACAAGCCAAACCAACCUGACCCUAAGUAUACAGAAGUACAGAGAUUGUCAAAUAAGGUCCUGCGUUUUCAAGACAGCUGGUAAAAGCA